GACGAACGCUGGCGGCGUGCUUAACACAUGCAAGUCGAGCGGUAAGGCCCUUUCGGGGGGUACACGAGCGGCGAACGGGUGAGUAACACGUGGGUGACCUGCCCUCAGCUCUGGGAUAAGCCUGGGAAACCGGGUCUAAUACUGGAUAUGACUCCAUGACGCAUGUUGUGGGGUGGAAAGCCUUGUGCGGCUGAGGAUGGGCCCGCGGCCUAUCAGCUUGUUGGUGGGGUGANGGCCUACCAAGGCGACGACGGGUAGCCGGCCUGAGAGGGCGACCGGCCACACUGGGACUGAGACACGGCCCAGACUCCUACGGGAGGCAGCAGUGGGGAAUCUUGCGCAAUGGGCGAAAGCCUGACGCAGCGACGCCGCGUGAGGGAUGACGGCCU
rnacentral:rRNA from 1 species